UACGAAGGGGGCUAGCGUUGCUCGGAAUCACUGGGCGUAAAGCGCGCGUAGGCGGUUACUUAAGUCGGAUGUGAAAGCCCUCGGCUUAACUGAGGAAGUGCAUCCGAAACUGAGUAGCUAGAGUACGAAAGAGGGUCGCGGAAUUCCCGGUGUAGAGGUGAAAUUCGUAGAUAUCGGGAGGAACACCGGUGGCGAAGGCGGCGACCUGGGUCGAGACUGACGCUGAUGCGC
rnacentral:rRNA from 1 species